CCAAAGUGAAGAGAAGCUAGGAGCGCACACACGGACAGCACCGAGUCCCUAGCCCGGAACAACAGCCUCCAGGGCUGCUCCCCACUAAUGCCCUAACAACCCGGAGGACUCCCCGCUGGAGAUGAGCUCGCCCCUUCUGCCCCAAGACGAGCUUCUGGAAACCAAGUAGACUUUCCCUUCCUCCAGGAGCUCAAGAAAAGCAGCCCCGCCAAGCAAACGCAACGCGUGCACACGUCCACAAGCCAACAGCACAUGCAGGAGACCAGAUGGGUGUGGAUUCCAGGCGCACACGGCGCAACGCAAGCAUAACAUGCACAGGAUGCACACGCGCGUGCCCAGACCCCGACCCCCACCCCUCCCUGCGCAACCCCGGCGCCCAAGCCCACCGCACACGAACCUCACCAGACAGCCGGGUAACUUUCCAGAGUGCAAACAGGCGCAUGUACCCUGGAUAUGCUUCCCUCUGUCACACCAGUGUCCUUCUAGAAGACAUAUGACCCCGAAGCAGCUUGGCGACAUGUUUUUCCCGGACUCCGGAACCAUAAGUUGCACCUAG
rnacentral:lncRNA from 1 species